rnacentral:tRNA from 1 species
GCAAAGCUUAGGACUUGCCCGGAGCGGAGAGAAAGCAGAUAUAGAAGAAGAAAGAAAAGACUUAAAAAGAAACUC